CGUGUAGGCUGCUCCGCAAGUCGGGUGUGAAAGCCCUGGGCUCAACCUAGGAAGUGCACUCGAAACUGCGGAGCUGGAGUCCUGGAGAGGAAGGCGGAAUUCUCGGUGUAGAGGUGAAAUUCGUAGAUAUCGAGAGGAACACCGGUGGCGAAGGCGGCCUUCUGGACAGUGACUGACGCUGAGACGCGAAAGCGUGGGGAGCAAACAGGAUUAGAUACCCUGGUAGUCCACGCCGUAAACGAUGGGUGCUAGGUGUCGCGGGCUUUGACCCCUGCGGUGCCGUAGCUAACGCAUUAAGCACCCCGCCUGGGGAGUACGGCCGCAAGGCUAAA
rnacentral:rRNA from 1 species